rnacentral:rRNA from 1 species
CGCUGGCGGCAGGCUUAACACAUGCAAGUCGAGCGGGGGAGGUUGCUUCGGUAACUGACCUAGCGGCGGACGGGUGAGUAAUACUUAGGAAUCUGCCUAUUAAUGGGGGACAACAUCUCGAAAGGGAUGCUAAUACCGCAUACGCCCUACGGGGGAAAGCAGGGGAUCACUUGUGACCUUGCGUUAAUAGAUGAGCCUAAGUCGGAUUAGCUAGUUGGUGGGGUAAAGGCCUACCAAGGCGACGAUCUGUAGCGGGUCUGAGAGGAUGAUCCGCCACACUGGGACUGAGACACGGCCCAGACUCCUACGGGAGGCAGCAGUGGGGAAUAUUGGACAAUGGGGGGAACCCUGAUCCAGCCAUGCCGCGUGUGUGAAGAAGGCCUUAUGGUUGUAAAGCACUUUAAGCGAGGAGGAGGCUCUCUUGGUUAAUACCCAAGAAGAGUGGACGUUACUCGCAGAAUAAGCACCGGCUAACUCUGUGCCAGCAGCCGCGGUAAUACAGAGGGUGCGAGCGUUAAUCGGAUUUACUGGGCGUAAAGCGUGCGUAGGCGGCUUUUUAAGUCGGAUGUGAAAUCCCCGAGCUUAACUUGGGAAUUGCAUUCGAUACUGGGAAGCUAGAGUAUGGGAGAGGAUGGUAGAAUUCCAGGUGUAGCGGUGAAAUGCGUAGAGAUCUGGAGGAAUACCGAUGGCGAAGGCAGCCAUCUGGCCUAAUACUGACGCUGAGGUACGAAAGCAUGGGGAGCAAACAGGAUUAGAUACCCUGGUAGUCC